GACGAACGCUGGCGGCGUGCCUAAUACAUGCAAGUAGAACGCUGAAGGAGGAGCUUGCUUCUCUGGAUGAGUUGCGAACGGGUGAGUAACGCGUAGGUAACCUGCCUGGUAGCGGGGGAUAACUAUUGGAAACGAUAGCUAAUACCGCAUAAUAGUAGAUGUUGCAUGACAUUUGCUUAAAAGGUGCAAUUGAAUCACUACCAGAUGGACCUGCGUUGUAUUAGCUAGUUGGUGAGGUAACGGCCCACCAAGGCGACGAUACAUAGCCGACCUGAGAGGGUGAUCGGCCACACUGGGACUGAGACACGGCCCAGACUCCUACGGGAGGCAGCAGUAGGGAAUCUUCGGCAAUAGACGGAAGUCUGACCGAGCAACGCCGCGUGAGUGAAGAAGGUUUUCGGAUCGUAAAGCUCUGUUGUAAGAGAAGAACGAGUGUGAGAGUGGAAAGUUCACACUGUGACGGUAUCUUACCAGAAAGGGACGGCUAACUACGUG
rnacentral:rRNA from 1 species